rnacentral:lncRNA from 1 species
CUGGAGACGGGCGGUCUCACGGGCCAUGUCAAGGGGACAGGCACCUUGGCUAAACGGCCUCGGGGUGACACUGGCUGCCACAGGAUCUACUCUGAUUGCCAGGGAGGUCGGCCUCUGUCCUCAGAGAAGCCCACGUUGGAAGGAUCCCUGAGCAAUUGGAGGAGGCAGGACAUGCUCUGGACACAAGGGAGAUUUGGCAAGGGGGAGGCCUUCAGGGGCCUGAUCUCUGACCCUUCUUCGGGCCUUCUCAAUCCCGGGAACACAAGUGUCCCUCCCUCCCAGGGGCACCAACCUGGCCCACAUCUCCCCGUGCUAUCUUCUGCUCUGGCUGCCGGCAGCCAGGGCUGCGGGAAGGCUCCUUGAAGCACGCACGGGGUGGGCGGAUGGAGACUCACAGAGGAGGGAACACAACGACACAAGCUCAGCACACAGAGGGUAACAGGCUGGGACAUGGUUCCGAGCAGGAAUGUGCACACAGACCAAGGGCCUGAGGAACCCCUCGGGGCUCCGGGGCGUCCAGGUCUGUGGGGAUUAUUUUGGGGCAGCUCCCUCUUCUAGCCGCCAGUCUCCCAGAGCAUGAAGCACGGACACACACACACACACACACACACACACACACACACACACACGAGUCCCCGCGCGCCCCCCACUGCCCACCUGCACCCACGUGCCCCAGCCUGGCUGCCCCGGGCCUGUCGCCGCGUGGUCCUGCCUGACCCUACCCGGUCACAGACGUCCCGCACCCAAGCGGCUACCGCGCAGCGCCUGGGGCUGGGCGCACGUCCGGAACGACAAACCGCCAGAGACGCGCGGAUGAGGAAGGGGGCGCACCCCGGGGCCCCGAAAGGCCCAGCUCACGCCCCCGCAAUGCUCUGCCUCGCAUCUCUUGCCCUGGAAAGAAAGACCGAGAGCGCCCCGAAAGUGCCUCCCUCCCAACCCUCCCGGCUCUCCCGGUCCGCCCCGCCCGGGGCCGCGCGAAGUUGCUCCAAGUCUCGGUCCCGGCGAAGGCAGACAGAGAAACAGGAAGGCACAGAAGGAGCGGAGUUCUUGACUGGGGCGCUGACCUGGCCCAGGCCAACUCCUGCUAUCCCAGAUCAGUGAGCCCAGAAGACAUGGACAGGCCUGGCAUGAACCUGGGCUGCACCCAACAGAACUGGCCUGGGCACAGAAGAAGACGCCAGGCUGCUCCAAGGACCA